GCUAAAACUCAAAGGAAUUGACGGGGGCCCGCCACAAGCGGCGGAGCAUGUGGAUUAAUUCGAUGCAACGCGAAGAACCUUACCUGGGCUUGACAUAUGCAGGAUCGGCGUAGAGAUACGUUUUCCUUUGUGGUCUGUAUACAGGUGGUGCAUGGUUGUCGUCAGCUCGUGUCGUGAGAUGUUGGGUUAAGUCCCGCAACGAGCGCAACCCUUGUCUUAUGUUGCCAGCAUGUUAUGGUGGGGACUCAUGAGAGACUGCCGGGGUUAACUCGGAGGAAGGUGGGGAUGACGUCAAAUCAUCAUGCCCCUUAUGUCCAGGGCUUCACACAUGCUACAAUGGUCGGUACAACGCGCUGCGAGCCUGUGAGGGUGAGCGAAUCGCUGAAAGCCGGCCUCAGUUCGGAUUGGGGUCUGCAACUCGACCCCAUGAAGUCGGAGUCGCUAGUAAUCGCAGAUCAGCAACGCUGCGGUGAAUACGUUCCCGGGCCUUGUACACACCGCCCGUCACGUCAUGAAAGUUGGUAACACCCGAAGCCAGUGGCCUAACCUUUGUGGGAGGAGCUGUCGAAGGUGGGAUCGGCGAUUGGGACGAAGUCGUAACAAGGUAGCCGUACCGGAAGGUGCGGCUGGAUCACCUCCUUAAUCACUAGUGAAUUC
rnacentral:rRNA from 1 species